GCCGGAGUGGUGAAAUUGGUAGACGCGCCGGACUCAAAAUCCGGUGUCCCCAAAGGACGUGCCGGUUCGACUCCGGCCUCCGGCA
rnacentral:tRNA from 2 species